rnacentral:rRNA from 1 species
AUUGAACGCUGGCGGCAUGCCUUACACAUGCAAGUCGAACGGUAACAGGUCUUCGGAUGCUGACGAGUGGCGAACGGGUGAGUAAUACAUCGGAACGUGCCCGAUCGUGGGGGAUAACGGAGCGAAAGCUUUGCUAAUACCGCAUACGAUCUACGGAUGAAAGCAGGGGACCGCAAGGCCUUGCGCGGACGGAGCGGCCGAUGGCAGAUUAGGUAGUUGGUGGGAUAAAAGCUUACCAAGCCGACGAUCUGUAGCUGGUCUGAGAGGACGACCAGCCACACUGGGACUGAGAAACGGCCCAGACUCCUAAGGGAGGCAGCAGUGGGGAAUUUUGGACAAUGGGCGAAAGCCUGAUCCAGCCAUGCCGCGUGCAGGAUGAAGGCCUUCGGGUUGUAAACUGCUUUUGUACGGAACGAAAAGCCUCUUUCUAAUAAAGAGAGGUCAUGACGGUACCGUAAGAAUAAGCACCGGCUAACUACGUGCCAGCCGCCGCUGUAAGAC